rnacentral:rRNA from 1 species
CACGUAGGGUGCGAGCGUUGUCCGGAAUUAUUGGGCGUAAAGAGCUCGUAGGCGGUGUGUCGCGUCGGCCGUGAAAACCUGCAGCUUAACUGUGGGCUUGCGGUCGAUACGGGCAUCACUGGAGUUCGGCAGGGGAGACUGGAAUUCCUGGUGCAGCGGUGAAAUGCGCAGAUAUCAGGAGGAACACCGGUGGCGAAGGCGGGUCUCUGGGCCGAUACUGACGCUGAGGAGCGAAAGCGUGGGGAGCAAACAGG